rnacentral:rRNA from 1 species
AUGUCUUUUUGAUAAUAAUUUAAAGUCUAAUCUGCUCAAUGAUUAUUUAAAUUGCCGCAGUAUUUUGACUGUGCUAAGGUAGCAUAAUCAUUAGUUUUUUAAUUGAAAGCUGGAAUGAAUGAUUGGACAAGAAGAUUUCUGUCUUCUUUUUAAAGAGAUUUUAAAAUUUAUUUUUAAGUGAAAAAGCUUAAAUUUUUUUAAAAGACGAGAAGACCCUAUAGAGUUUAAUAUUUUAAAAUUAAUUUUGAUUUUAGAAUUUAAUUUUAAUUAUAUGAUAUUUGAUUGGGGUGAUUUGAAGAUUUGAUUAUUUCUUUAAAAUUUUAAUUGAUGAUUUUUAAUUUAAAAUUUAAUUUUUUUUUAAAUAAAGUGAAUUACCUUAGGGAUAACAGCGUAAUUUUUCUUUGAAGUUCUUAUUUAAAGAAAAGUUUGCGACCUCGAUGUUGGAUUAAAAUAUAUAAUUGGCGCAAUUGCUUUUAAAUUAGGUCUGUUCGACCUUUAAAAUUUUACAUGAUCUGAGUU